rnacentral:rRNA from 1 species
CGGGGGGGGCAAGCGUUGUUCGGAAUUACUGGGCGUAAGGGCGCGUAGGCGGCCUGCUAAGUCGGAUGUGAAAUCCCUCGGCUCAACCGAGGAACUGCAUCCGAUACUGGCGGGCUUGAAUCCGGGAGAGGGAUGUGGAAUUCCAGGUGUAGCGGUGAAAUGCGUAGAUAUCUGGAGGAACACCGGUGGCGAAGGCGGCAUCCUGGACCGGUAUUGACGCUGAGGCGCGAAAGCUAGGGGAGCAAACGGGAUUAGAUACCCCGGUAGUCCUAGCCCUAAACGAUGAGUGCUUGGUGUGGCGGGUAUCGAUCCCUGCCGUGCCGAAGCUAACGCAUUAAGCACUCCGCCUGGGGAGUACGGUCGCAAGGCUG